CAAACUGGCGUUGUGAGGGGGGGUCUUCAAAACAGACGGAGAGGGAGCGAACAAUGAUGAAUGUGAAGGAGAGGCUGAGAAAAUAAAGGGAGGAGAAGACGAAGGGAGGGGAUGGGUUAUUUCUGAGCUCAGGGCCGGGGAUUAAGCGGUCGAGAGCAAUCCCAAUACGAUGACAGCAUCCAGCCUAAACCCCCACGCGCCACACCGUCCGGACACGGAUUCUACCGAUUCUGACAAACUAUUCUGUCUGCUCUCUCUCUUCAAUCACUUAAUUUGACCCUCCCGAUCCACAACCCCGUUCCGUCUUUUUCUUUAGAACACGAGGCGACUACCAGGAUUACAAAUUCUUCUUGGUCCUGAUGAUCACAAGGGCCCUCUUCCACCUCUUGUCGGCCAAUCCCGAUGGGGCUCCGGAGCUGAUGUCACAGAUGGCCCGAGGAUUUUCAUGUUCGGGAAUCCAGAAGAUACAAGCAAUACCACGUUAAAUGGAGGAGAAAGAGAGGAGUAGGAGUCGGUCUCUGUCUCGUAGCCGUAGGGCCACCCGGGUGCAGCAGGUGGUGGGGACAUUGAUCAGACGCACCCGCGAAUCACUCAGCAGAGAGCGGAUCCUUGGGGAUGGGAGGUCCAACCGGUCUGGCAGCGUGACCAGUCAGAACUUCCCGGUGAGGCUAACGGUUCAGAUCGUCAGAGACCCGGUGUUGGACUCCAGCGGUCAUGGGUUCUCCCUCUCCAAACAGCACCCUCUGCUGGUCAGGGACGUGGCUACAGGUACGCCAUGCGCGUGUGUC